rnacentral:tRNA from 1 species
CCGAUGUGGCUCAGCUGGUAGAGCAACGCUCUCGUAAAGCGUAGGUCACCGGUUCGAAUCCGGUCAUCGG